UUGUAGUCAUAUGCUUGUCUCAAAGAUUAAGCCAUGCAUGUCUAAGUAUAAGCAACUAUACGGUGAAACUGCGAAUGGCUCAUUAAAUCAGUUAUCGUUUAUUUGAUAGUACCUUACUACUUGGAUAACCGUGGUAAUUCUAGAGCUAAUACAUGCUAAAAACCCCAACUUCGGAAGGGGUGUAUUUAUUAGAUAAAAAACCAACGCCCUUCGGGGCUCCUUGGUGAUUCAUAAUAACUAAACGAAUCGCAUGGCCUUGCGCCGGCGAUGGUUCAUUCAAAUUUCUGCCCUAUCAACUUUCGAUGGUAGGAUAGUGGCCUACCAUGGUAUCAACGGGUAACGGGGAAUGGGGCGGGGGCGG
rnacentral:rRNA from 1 species